CCCAAUGGUGGUGGUGGUUGUGGAUAUCAGCCAUUGUAAGAUGGUCGAGGGAUCACCGACCAACGGUCGGCAGCAACGACUGCUGCUGGAAAACUAAGGAAGAUGGAUGGAAAAAUCAAGAAAAAAUAGAGAAAAUCAAUCUGAGCCCCUUUUUGACAAAAUUCGAUGAUUGCCGACAAUCGGAUGUUAUAUAAAGAAAGGGGAGAGGGAGGGAGAGAGAG
rnacentral:lncRNA from 1 species